UUAGGAAAUCAGUAGGAAUCUAAAAUUCGUACGAGUAUCUCAAAUUCGGUAUUUUACAUUCCCAGUUUAAAAACGAAAAAAAUGUAUUCGAUAGUAUUUACUUUCUUUUAAUGUUAGAUUUUUUUAAUAAUUUAUAACACGGUGCAUAAUAUAAGUUGCCAUUAUAUAAUUUUAAUAGUAUUUAUUAUUUUCUGUGAUAAAACAUUGUUUUUGAAGAGAACCAUUAUUUACUCGUGGAAAUAUGCUGAAUAUAUUUUUAAUGCAUUUUUAGAGGAAAAAUUCAUUUUUUAUUUUAAGCGAAAAUCAUGGUAACUUCUUGUAAAUAUAAGGGUAAGGUUGGAUGGUGCAAGAGGGAGUUUUUUUUCGGGUCAAGAGGAAUUUUUGCCACUGGCAAUCUUGAUAUAUGGGCCGUCUUGCCCCAUCUGCCGAUAGUAUAUUUUGUAACAGUCGCCCGCAGUGCUAGUGUAGUACGGUACGAUAGAGUACGUUUAUUGGGUUUUCAGUCCGCCUACAGACGAUUUCGACGUUUGGGAGCUAUUUUAUAAUUGUUUUGACGUCAGCGCCGACAGAGUAGCGAGUUCUACCUCUAACGACAUAAUAGAUGUACAAUAUAGACUUGAAAAUAU